rnacentral:lncRNA from 1 species
AUGUAUGAAGAACUCAAGGGCAGUUGUGAUCUGAGGAUUGUCACAGUUUCUAGAACACUGGGAGUAGCAUUCAUCAAGCUACCCAAUUUUCUGGAGCACAUUUCUGAACUGUGUUCCUGAGGCCUCAGCAUCAAGAGGGGACAUGUCGCUGAAGUCUGGAAACUAUGGCCUACAACAGGAUGUGCCUUUGCUCUCCCCAUUUCUCCUUUACGUACUGCAAUAAAUAAAGGAGUUGGUAAAUGCAAUCAAUCUGUAUCCUUGAGUCACUCUGUGGAGGAGCUGCAGGCCUGCAUCAGAUCCUGAUGUCAAUGAGAAUCAAACUCUA